rnacentral:rRNA from 1 species
AUACGUAGGGGGCGAGCGUUAUCCGGAAUUAUUGGGCGUAAAGAGUACGUAGGUGGUUUCCUAAGCGAGGGGUUUAAGGCACUGGCUUGACCAAUGUUCGCCCCCCGAACUGCAGGGCUUGAGUACAGGAGAGGAGAGUGGAAUUCCUAGUGUAGCGGUGAAAUGCGUAGAUAUUAGGAGGAAUACCAGUGGCGAAGGCGACUCUCUGGACUGAUACUGACGCUGAGGCACGAAAGCGUGGGGAGCAAACAGGAUUAGAUACCCUGGUAGUCCACGCUAUAAACGAUGAGUGCUAGGUGUCGGGGGUCAAACCUCGGUGCCGCAGCAAACGCAAUAAGUAUUCCACCUGGGGAGUACGUUCGCAAGAAUGAAACUCAAAUGAAUUGGCGGGG